rnacentral:rRNA from 1 species
UACGGAGGGUGCAAGCGUUAUCCGGAUUCACUGGGUUUAAAGGGUGCGUAGGUGGGAAUGUAAGUCAGUGGUGAAAUCUCCGUGCUUAACAUGGAAACUGCCAUUGAUACUAUGUUUCUUGAAUUUUCUGGAGGUAAGCGGAAUAUGUCAUGUAGCGGUGAAAUGCUUAGAUAUGACAUAGAACACCAAUUGCGAAGGCAGCUUACUACGCGAAUAUUGACGCUGAGGCACGAAAGCGUGGGGAUCAAACAGG